rnacentral:rRNA from 1 species
UACGUAGGGGGCAAGCGUUGUCCGGAUUUAUUGGGCGUAAAGAGCGUGUAGGCGGCCAGACAGGUCAGCUGUGAAAACUCGAGGCUCAACCUCGAGACGUCGGUUGAAACCGUCUGGCUAGAGUCCGGAAGAGGAGAGUGGAAUUCCCGGUGUAGCGGUGAAAUGCGCAGAUAUCGGGAAGAACACCCGUGGCUAAGGCGGCUCUCUAGUACGGUACUGACGCUGAGACGCGAAAGCGUGGGGAGCGAACAGG